GUUCCUUUCCUUUGUUUUUGAAACAAUCUUUUGAUUUCCUAGGCUUUCCUUUCAUGACAUUUAGGAGAAAAGGAAACUGCUGUUGAAUACGGGAUGCCUGGGAUUUCUGUUUUAUAUUAGACUUUUUAAAUAUUUGAACUCUGCUUCAGGACGGAACAAAUUAGAGUUGAAACUGCAGGGUGGGACUCGUUCUUGAGCUUCCACCACUUCCAGAAAUCCAGGGAACCUUUGGGAGGAUAAGUGCCAGCACUAAGAAAAUGGAGGGGAAAUAUAGAGGGACAUCGGAGAGGGAAGGGAGAAAGCACCUGGAAAGGACCACAGCAGAAUGUGGACUUCAUCCCACAGUCUUACACUGAAGGAAAAAGAGCUACAAAGAAUAAUGAUCCAUGAAUUCUAGAGAGGGACACAUGACCUGCCGCAAAUGCAAGGAGAGAGAAACCUGCUGCAGCGCCAGUGGUGGAUGUGUCCUGCUGAGUCUGAUUGAUGGCGACAUAAAGAGUUUUUGA
rnacentral:lncRNA from 1 species